UAAACUGACCGGAUUUAUUUUUCAGAGCUGAAAUAUUUCCUCACCUCUCCCUUCAUGCUGCAGGAUCCCCGGAGGUUUGUCAUAAAACAUCCUCAUUGGUGACCCCCAAGAAAAAGAGAAUUGCCCAAACACAGAGAAAAGGACAUUGUGACUUCACCUGCUUGAAGGACACCUGUGUUCGCUGCACUUGGAAGCUGACAUAAACAAGCUGUAAACACCUGGAAACCCAAGCAGCGUCAGCAAAGCACAGUGCUGUUCUUGUGCUCAUCAGCCCAUAAGAGAAGCUGACUGAAGAUUGUGGUGACUGCACCACAACUGCCCCAGCACAUUUAACUUCAAGAUAGAGUCAGCUGUUUUGUCAGCACCUCUGCAUUCUGUGAGUUGUAGCAUGAACUAGCUGGCAUUUGUGCUUCAUUGAAAGCUCCCUAAGUGGGAGUAGCAUGGCUGCCCAAUGUGGUCUGGAUGUGAUGGUCAUGUCAAUUAGCCUAUGAUCAGUGCUCCCAUUCUUCAUCC
rnacentral:lncRNA from 1 species